GACAGAGGGUGCAAACGUUGUCCGGAAUUAUUGGGCGUAAAGAGCUCGUAGGCGGUUUGUCACGUCGGCUGUGAAAACUCGGGGCUCAACCCCGAGCCUGCAGUCGAUACGGGCAGACUAGAGUGCUGUAGGGGAGACUGGAAUUCCUGGUGUAGCGGUGAAAUGCGCAGAUAUCAGGAGGAACACCGGUGGCGAAGGCGGGUCUCUGGGCAGUAACUGACGCUGAGGAGCGAAAGCGUGGGGAGCAAACAGG
rnacentral:rRNA from 1 species